rnacentral:rRNA from 1 species
UACAGAGGUCUCAAGCGUUGUUCGGAUUCAUUGGGCGUAAAGGGUGCGUAGGUGGCGCGCUAAGUCGGGUGUGAAAUUUCGGAGCUUAACUCCGAAACUGCAUUCGAUACUGGCGUGCUUGAGGACUGGGAGAGGAGACUGGAAUUCAUGGUGUAGCAGUGAAAUGCGUAGAGAUCAUGAGGAAGACCAGUGGCGAAGGCGGGUCUCUGGACAGUUCCUGACACUGAGGCACGGAAGGCCAGGGGAGCAAACGGG